UACAGAGGGGGCAAGCGUUGUUCGGAAUUACUGGGCGUAAAGGGCGCGUAGGCGGCCUUCUAAGUCGAACGUGAAAUCCCCGGGCUCAACCCGGGAACUGCGUCCGAUACUGGAAGGCUUGAAUCCGGGAGAGGGAUGCGGAAUUCCCGGUGUAGCGGUGGAAUGCGUAGAGAUCGGGAAGAACAUCAGUGGCGAAGGCGGUCUGCUGGGCCGUUGCUGACGCUGAGGCUCGAAAGCGUGGGGAGCAAACGGG
rnacentral:rRNA from 1 species